rnacentral:rRNA from 1 species
AGAGUUUGAUCCUGGCUCAGAUUGAACGCUGGCGGCAGGCCUAACACAUGCAAGUCGAGCGGAUGAAAGGAGCUUGCUCCUGGAUUCAGCGGCGGACGGGUGAGUAAUGCCUAGGAAUCUGCCUGGUAGUGGGGGACAACGUUUCGAAAGGAACGCUAAUACCGCAUACGUCCUACGGGAGAAAGCAGGGGACCUUCGGGCCUUGCGCUAUCAGAUGAGCCUAGGUCGGAUUAGCUAGUUGGUGAGGUAAUGGCUCACCAAGGCGACGAUCCGUAACUGGUCUGAGAGGAUGAUCAGUCACACUGGAACUGAGACACGGUCCAGACUCCUACGGGAGGCAGCAGUGGGGAAUAUUGGACAAUGGGCGAAAGCCUGAUCCAGCCAUGCCGCGUGUGUGAAGAAGGUCUUCGGAUUGUAAAGCACUUUAAGUUGGGAGGAAGGGUUGUAGAUUAAUACUCUGCAAUUUUGACGUUACCGACAGAAUAAGCACCGGCUAACUC